CGGUGUGCCUAAUACAUGCAAGUCGAACGCGUUGGCCCAAUUGAUUGAUGGUGCUUGCACCUGAUUGAUUUUGGUCGCCAACGAGUGGCGGACGGGUGAGUAACACGUAGGUAACCUGCCCAGAAGCGGGGGACAACAUUUGGAAACAGAUGCUAAUACCGCAUAACAACGUUGUUCGCAUGAACAACGCUUAAAAGAUGGCUUCUCGCUAUCACUUCUGGAUGGACCUGCGGUGCAUUAGCUUGUUGGUGGGGUAAYGGCCUACCAAGGCGAUGAUGCAUAGCCGAGUUGAGAGACUGAUCGGCCACAAUGGGACUGAGACACGGCCCAUACUCCUACGGGAGGCAGCAGUAGGGAAUCUUCCACAAUGGGCGCAAGCCUGAUGGAGCAACACCGCGUGAGUGAAGAAGGGUUUCGGCUCGUAAAGCUCUGUUGUUAAAGAAGAACACGUAUGAGAKUAACUGUUCAUACGUUGACGGUAUUUAACCAGAAAGUCACGGCUAACUACGUGCCAGCAGCCGCGGUAAUACGUAGGUGGCAAGCGUUAUCCGGAUU
rnacentral:rRNA from 2 species